rnacentral:ncRNA from 15 species
GGGUCUGUGGGGUAGUGGACAUCCUUUCGGGCUUCGGACCCGACGACCUGGGUUCAAAUCCCAGCAGAUCCG